ensembl:snoRNA SNORD39 Small nucleolar RNA SNORD55/SNORD39
ACAGAAUAAAUUAGGGAAAGUUAAAAAUAAACGGUGCUUUGUGGGGAAGCCAACCUUGAAGAGCUGAGCUGU